rnacentral:lncRNA from 1 species
GUGAGACUCGCUGCUAGCCUGGCUUGGGCUCAGCCCGGGAGAGCUUCCCGGCAGCACUCUUGGGUGGUGCGUUCUGCCAGGGAGACCGAGCUUGGCUGCCGAGGGCUGGAGCGGACCGUGCCGCCGCCGCCGCCGCCGCCGCCGCCGCCACCGCCUCGGGGAUCCAGAGGACGCUGCUGUGUCCUACGCAGCUCCACUGAGCUAGGUGGCUGCCUCCAUGUCCACCCUCGAACCAUCUGAUAGUUUUAAGCGGUGACAGGAGCAGAAAAGACCCCUGUAGCGGCGCUUCAUUAAUGUGCCACUUCUUAGCUAUCGAAUCACUUCCAGCAGAAGACGGGGCGACCGGGAAGAGCCUCUGCCGCCCGCGGGGAGCGGGCAGCGCCAGCCGGUGUGCGCGUUGGGAAGGAAGCACCAUGUGGGCUGGCAGAGGAGACGAUGAAAGAGACCUCAGCACUGGAGUCAGAAGAGACUUUGUCUCCAUCCAGUUCUGCUGUAGCAGGGCACCUUUGGGCAACCCACCAUAUUCCUUCAUCUGAGCCAUGGUGCCGCCCUCAAAAAUGGUUGGAAACAUUCAAUAAAAUAAUACAUAUGGAAACA